GUGGAUAAAAGAGGAGAUAAAGUGAGCAAUGAUUAUGGAUGGGCUUGUGUUGUGAUUCUAGAGAGUUUAACACCUGUAAUGGUUGAUCCAGUGAUUGGGAAAUCGAGGUUGCUUGUUACUCCGAGCGUUAAGGAGAAGGCUAAGGAGAUAGCUGAGACGUGGAAGGCGAGCUUGGAAGAGAGAGGAAGGAUAGAAAAUGUGAAGACUCCUGAUGUGCAUACGUUUCUGCAGCACCUUGUUACAUUUGGAAUUGUUAAAAGUGAAGAUCUUGCUUUGUAUAGAAAGCUUGUCGUUGGAUCUGCGUGGCGUAAACAGAUGCCUAAGCUUGCUGUUUCUGUUGGUUUGGGUGAUCAAAUGCCUGGUAAGCCUAAAGCUUUAAUCUUUUACCUUUUGGUUUUGAUCCUGGCAAGCUCAUUGUGACUAGUGAGGUCAUAUUUUGCAGAUGUAUAGUUUUCGUAGGGUACAAAUAGUUUACGGGUUGAUAAGCGAAUUUUAAAGUUGCGUGGAGAAUUUCUGGCAAACGUUGUAUUGUAUGGUAUAGAUUGUGGUGUUAUUGACUAGAACUGACCAUAGGCUGUGUGAAGUUGAAGCCUUUUACUCUGUAUCUCGUUAUUUAAUAUCUGAGCUUACGAGUUGUUGUGCUGUCCACAGACAUGAUUGAAGAAUUAAUCAGCAGGGGACAACAGCUUGAUGCUGUUCAUUUUACUUAUGAAGUUGGCCUUGUGGAUAAGUUUCCUCCUGUUCCUUUGCUCAAAGCUUAUCUAAGGGACGCAAAGAAGUCAGCAGCAUCUAUCAUGGAGGAAUCUAGCAAUACUGGCCGACCUACGGUAUCUACUCAUUUCGUAGCAUCUAAUCAUUUCUGUCCCUACUAAACAUUUUUAUUUGUGAAUCUCUAAUAUUGAAUGUCUUCCUCUUGCUAAGCAUCUCGUGGCGCGCAAGGAGCAAUCAGCACUUAAGGCGGUCUUGAAAUGCAUAGAAGAGUACAAACUCGAGGAAGAAUUCCCUCCAGAGAACCUCAAGAAGCGGUUGGAUCAGCUAGAGAAGACCAAAACCGAGAAGAGAAAACCAGCAGCUGUUCCCGCAAACAAGAGAACCCGAGCAAGCUACAACGGUCCAAUGCCACCAGCCAAAGCCGGGCGUAUCACAAACGCAUACGUCUCUUCCUUCCCUUUCAUCAGAUCACCCUCUCACUCUCCUCAAUACGCUUCACCAGCAGCUUACCCAUCCCCACCUACAACAGUCUACAGCAACAGAAGCCCACCUUAUCCAUACUCUCCCGAAAUCAUCCCAGGCUCAUACCAAGGCUCUCCUAUCGGUUACCCAGCAUACAACGGUUAUUGCAAUGGUCCAGUUCCUGCUCCAGCUCCUCCGGUUUACCACCCGCACCAUCAUCAACACCACCAAU
rnacentral:lncRNA from 1 species